rnacentral:rRNA from 1 species
ACUCCUACGGGAGGCAGCAGUGGGGAAUCUUGGACAAUGGGGGCGAACCCUGAUCCAGCCAUGCCGCGUGAGUGAUGAAGGCCUUAGGGUCGUAAAGCUCUUUCGCCUGUGAUGAUAAUGACAGUAGCAGGUAAAGAAACCCCGGCUAACUCCGUGCCAGCAGCCGCGGUAAUACGGAGGGGUUAGCGUUGUUCGGAAUUACUGGGGCGUAAAGCGCGCGUAGGCGGAUUAGUAAGUCAGAGGUGAAAUCCCGGGGCUCAACCCCGGAACUGCCUUUGAUACUGCUAGUCUUGAGUUCGAGAGAGGUGAGUGGAAUUCCGAGUGUAGAGGUGAAAUUCGUAGAUAUUCGGAGGAACACCAGUGGCGAAGGCGGCUCACUGGCUCGAUACUGACGCUGAGGUGCGAAAGUGUGGGGAGCAAACAGGAUUAGAUACCCUGGUAGGAUAGCG